AACGAACGCUGGCGGCAUGCCUAACACAUGCAAGUCGAACGAGAUCCUUCGGGGUCUAGUGGCGCACGGGUGCGUAACGCGUGGGAAUCUGCCCUUAGGUUCGGAAUAACAGUUAGAAAUGACUGCUAAUACCGGAUGAUGACGUUAAGUCCAAAGAUUUAUCGCCUGAGGAUGAGCCCGCGUAGGAUUAGCUAGUUGGUGUGGUAAAGGCACACCAAGGCGACGAUCCUUAGCUGGUCUGAGAGGAUGAUCAGCCACACUGGGACUGAGACACGGCCCAGACUCCUACGGGAGGCAGCAGUGGGGAAUAUUGGACAAUGGGCGCAAGCCUGAUCCAGCAAUGCCGCGUGAGUGAUGAAGGCCUUAGGGUUGUAAAGCUCUUUUACCCGGGAUGAUAAUGACAGUACCGGGAGAAUAAGCCCCGGCUAACUCCGUG
rnacentral:rRNA from 1 species